CUUCACCGACCCCAGCCACAACGGCUGCUGCCGGUCCUGGCCGUAGGUCGCGAGCAGUGCCUGCGCCUC
rnacentral:antisense_RNA from 1 species